rnacentral:rRNA from 1 species
CCCUUAGAUGUUCUGGGCUGCACGCGCGCUACACUGAUGCGAUCAACAAGUUUUUCCUAUGUCGAUAGACACGGGCAAUCUUUUGAACUCGCAUCGUGAUGGGGAUAGAUUAUUGUAAUUAUUAAUCUUCAACGAGGAAUUCCUAGUAGGUGCAAAUCAUCAGUUUGCAUCGAUUACGUCCCUGCCCUUUGUACACACCGCCCGUCGCUGCUACCGAUUGGUUGAUCUGGUGAAUUAUUCGGACUGCCGGCUGAAGGGGUUUCCUCAUCUGCCAGCGGAAAGUCUUGUUAACCCUAUCAACUAGAGGAAGCAGAAGUCGUAACA